rnacentral:lncRNA from 1 species
CAAAAAUAUGAACCCAAAACGUUUAUACAUGAGUAUACUUUAAGAAGGCUAUACCCCUUCGUGUUAGAUGUAGUUUUAGCUACCCAACCCGAGUCUAUGAGCUUGACUUCAGAUGUAGAAGGCAUUAAAUCGUUUUGAAUAUUAAUUAAAAAACGAUGAAAAUUAAAUAUUUAAAAGCAAUCAUACGCUGAAAAUUUAGUGCUGUGGCUAAUCCUUCAACAUGGAAAUGCCAUAAAAGUGACUUUGACAAAAAAAAAAGUAUAUACAGGUAGUAAACUCAUCUACUUCAUUGACUUUGUUUACAGCAUGUGGAAGGAGGAAUAUUUAUUGCUAAAUCGUAGUUUAACAUUCAAUAAGUAAUACUAUUGAAAUUCGACAAGAUUGGCCGCAUGGAUGAAAAAGAGGCAUUUUGCUUUGGGAGAAUUAGUUCAAAUUAGAACUGAAAAAAAAAACUUUACGAGGCAAAAAUGUCGGAUUGAGAUCGUAAAAGUUCGCUCGUCGUCUUUUGCUUUGUGAUUGUUUUCAUGGAUACAUCUUGCUGGAUAUUUAAAUUUUAGUACUAUGUAUAAGAUAUUCUAUAAAUGUUUUAUCACCCAAACCUGUUAGCGCCUUCUUAAUUCUAUUCAAUCUGGCUUUUGCUCUGAGACUACUUCUUGGACUUUCACUACUUGUUAGUUAUACGGAAUUUGUGUAAUUAGAAGUGAAAUAAUCCUUUCUAUUAGUAAUGCAAACAAAAAUCAAUUGGAAAGCAAAUUUACACAUACUUGCUGUAUCGCCUUCGACUAUCUUUUCAUUGCAUACCAUGAUUUUAGACGUUUAUACUUAAGCAAUUAAAAGGUUUUGAUUCAAUCAUAAACAUAAUUAUCCUUGAUAAAAAAAGAAUUAUACACAUUGUUCUCUUUAUUUGACUUCGAACUGUUUAACAUCGAAACGGUCAGAUGAUACACCCAUUCCUCCAAUGUAAUCCCUGGCUUCUUGGGCAAGCUUGUCAGUUGUCGCAUCAUCCCAACCAAAUUCUUCUUUCAUGACAUGUGUAACACCAGCAACGGCUUGAAGAGCUUGUCUAGCAUCCAAAAAUGCCAAACGGGUCCUACGGGCUAAGAAAUCGGUGGGUGUUCUAGUGUAUUCGUACUUUAUCGAAUACUUUAAUUCUGCAACAGUAAACGGUUCAUCAAAGGAUGCAUAGGAAACGCUUUUAUCACUCGAGGCAUCAGAAGAUGGAGCGAAUACUUCCUUGUCAGCCAACGUAACAGGCAGCUUGUUGAAAUCGGUUUUCGAAUAUAACUCCAAAAUUAAUGGGGCCCGAGAUCCAUAGUUGUGGGACAGAUGCUUUGCGAGUCUUAAGGGAAUAUGAUAUUCAUGAAUCAAUCUGGCAGAAUAAUUCUUAUAAUAGUUUUCACCACCCACCAAAAUGAGUUUUUUAGUUUGACAGGGCUUCAAUGCCUUUCCGAAGUCGUGGUCCUUGAUUAGUUCAUUAACAGUCUCCUCCGCCAUUUCACGGUAUGUCGUCCAUUUUCCACCCGAGAUUGUAAGUAAUCCGGUAUCAGACUUGAAAAUGAAGUGAGAACGAACUAGACCCUGCGUCUCUCCAGUAGUGGGAUCGGUGCCAGGAGGGACCGUGGAUGGGUCACGAACCAAAGGUCGGAUACCGCACCAUGCAGACAAGACAUCCUCUCGAUCAACAGGGAACACAAGGUAUUUUUGUAGCUCCUUCAAUAUCAACUGGAUAUCGUCUUCAGAUGGUGUGGGAUUAGUGGGAACACUACUCAAAGGCUUAUCUGUGGUACCGGCUAUAACUUUACCCUGCCAUGGUAAGAAGAACAUGACACGAUUAUCUGAAGUUGAAGGGUCGAGAAUUCCUAUAUUGGGAGGACAGUAGUAUUCGGGCAAGACGACAUGAACGCCGGCAGAAGGGACAACCAUUCUAGGAAACUGGGCAGUCUUGGGUGGCUCACCUUGGGGAUCAGCAUCCAUUUCUAAGAUUUUGUCAGAAAAGGGACCGGUAGCAUUGACAACAGAAGUGGCUUUAAUUUGAUAUUCUUUACCGGUUUCACGGUCGAUGGCAAGUACACCUUCAAGUUUGUUGUCUUUUGAUUUUAAUAGUUUUUUAACCUCCAUAUAAUUCAAAACGGUUGCACCAUUGUCAAUUGCAGUAACUGCUAGCGUGGUGUUCAUGCGAGUGUCAUUAAAGGAGCCAUCAUGGUAGACGCAUGAAGCCUUGAGAUUAGAAUCGUCGAGCAUGGGAGCAAUGGCCACAGUUGUCUCUUUUGAGAAAAUGGUAGAAGCUCUCAAGUUCUUAGAACCAGCAACCCAGUCGUAAAUUUUACAACCAACAAAGAAAUAUGGAACCUGCCACCAUUUGUAUACAGGGAUCAUGAUGGGCAACACUGUGCACAAAUGUGGGGCCGUUCUCAACAUAUUUGCACGCUCAUUUAAAGCCUCGAUAACCAAAUCUAAUUGAGCCUUAGACAAUUGGAAUACAGCUUUCUCUAGAUAACGCACACCACCAUGAGCCAUUUUAGUCGACUUUGAUGAAGUCUCACUGGCAAAAUCAGUUUUUUCUAACAAACAAACAUUAAGUCCUCUGGUGCUGGCAUCGACAGCAACACCUGUACCGGUAGCACCUCCACCGAUAAUGAGGACAUCGAAUUUUGAUAUAUCUUCGACGUUUUUUAAAAGCGUUUCACGAGAUGGCGGAGGGGCUAACGAUUUGGUAAACGGGGUAAAUUGGGGAUUGAAGUGAGAAGGAGCGGGUCUUUUAAUGAAAUCAGAGUAGAAAACGGCGCCUCCAACUAGACCCGAAGCAGCCAAAGCGGCCUGAACAGAUCGGCGUUUGAAGAUUGAAAACAUCUGGUCGAUGGCUAGAUUAAGGGAGAAAAAUAAAACGUGAAAUGAUAAAUGAGAGAAAUAGAAAUAUUGGUAAAGAAGAAAGAAAACGGCAAAAAUAUUACUAGAAAGGAGAAUGAGAGAAGGGAGAGGGGAAAUAAAUCUGUAUUAUGCGAAUGUUUUAGUUUUUUAUUUCCCUUAUAUGUGAGUACUAUAGUGCAGCACGGCUUAUGUAUGUAGAAGGAAUUGUAUAUAAAAGGGAAGGGAGAUGGAUGAUUUUAUGAGAAAAGGAAGAAACAGGGAGUAGUUUGCUUAUUUGUCAAUUGUUUUUGUGUUUUUUUUUAUCUUUUAAACGACCCGCUUUGAAGUUACAGCAACAAUUUUAGAGCUAUUUUUUCAUAAAGGGGUUUUUCUUUAUAUGGCGCUUUGUCGAUCAACUCAGCAAGCAAGGCGGAAGAAGAAUACAAAACAAACCUAAACAAAGUAAAAUUGAACAAAUAUAUUUUCAGUAAAACCACUAGCAAAAUCAAAUUCCCUUAACGAAAUGAAUUUAUCAGGCAGAUCAAUCAAAUCGCUACCAGAGCUUUAUGGGGAAAUUUAAACAAGAUGCAAGAUGCAGCCCAUGCGAAGAAGGAUAUCGCAGCGACCUACUUCUAUGCAAAGACGCAAAUAUAUAGAAAAAAAAAACUUUCAAAGACAUGUCAACAGUGACGUUGGGUUUGUUUCUACUGCAAGUCUUGAACAAACGAAGCUUCAAUAACGAAGCAAUGCCAUCACGGAACCCCACACUUACCCCUACACAAUACCCGAGUCAUGACGCGGCCUGGAAAGGUACUUUGGAGAAUGUAUUUUAGCUUGAAAAAAACGUUUUUCAAUGCUUCUCCUUGUGUUUCAUGGACGCUGGAAAAAGGCGAUCCACGAAAAAAAUUUUUCAUUUAAGAAUUUACCUUCGUUUAAGCUAUAAACCAGGAACUGUGGGGCCAGAUGCAUGGUGCUAACCGAGUGACAUCAUACGGCUACUUGAGGCAGGUUUCAAUGAUGUGCCGAUGCGUGAAAAUUUGUGGGGAUGGGAAGAAGCGUUUCGAGUGACAUUUUAGCAAGUUAUUAUGAGAUUUAAGAGUGUAAUAGAUCUCUAUAACACAUGCAAAAUGCAAAUGAUUUUCCUGAGUCGCCCUGUAACGUGUUGAAGGGUUAUCUUUCAUUUGUUGCGCAACGAUCUUCCUUGUUUGGGUAUUCACCUACAGUAAAAAUUUUACCUGAUUAAAAUAUAGAGAUAACUCUUCUGAAAACUUUGUGAUUUCUUUCCCUCUUUUUCUUUCUUUUCAUUAAAAAACAGACAAAUUUGUUUGAGAAACCUACAUCCAUAAUCGAUUUCCUUAUAUAUCGAUAUUAAUAUUGUUAUACCUGUUUUAUAGUAAUACAAAGAUAGUGCUACAUAGGUAAAGUAUAUUAUACAUACUAAAUUCAUUUAUUCAGUCGUAUUAUACUAAUACAAUUUUUUCG